rnacentral:rRNA from 1 species
UACGGAGGGGGCUAGCGUUGUUCGGAAUUACUGGGCGUAAAGCGCACGUAGGCGGCUUUGUAAGUUAGAGGUGAAAGCCCGGGGCUCAACUCCGGAAUUGCCUUUAAGACUGCAUCGCUAGAAUUGUGGAGAGGUAAGUGGAAUUCCGAGUGUAGAGGUGAAAUUCGUAGAUAUUCGGAAGAACACCAGUGGCGAAGGCGACUUACUGGACACGUAUUGACGCUGAGGUGCGAAAGCGUGGGGAGCAAACAGG